AUACUCUGGCUUCCUUGCACAUCGAGUAAAUCUUUCGCCUUUUACUAAAGAUUUCCGUGCAUUAUGAUAUAUGAAAAUUCGCGUAUAGGAUAAGGCAUUUUCAUUUUGCAGCUAAAUACUACAAA
rnacentral:snRNA from 1 species